AGCCCAAGCUUAAAACCCAAAGGACUUGACGGUGUCCCACCCACCUAGAGGAGCCUGUUCUAUAAUCGAUUAUCCCCGAUACACCCCACCACUUCUAGCCUUUCAGCCUGUAUACCUCCGUCGUAAGCUCACCAUAUGAAUGCUUUUUAGUGAGCUAAAAGAUUUCCACAUAAAUACGUCAGGUCAAGGUGCAGCCAACGAAGUGGCAAGUAAUGGGCUACAAUUUCUACAAUUAGAACACAACGAAAGACCGCAUGCAACUCGGUCAUGAAGGUGGAUUUAGAAGUAAAAAGAAAGUAGAGAGUUCUUUUUAAUUAGGCACUGGGACGCGUACACACCGCCCGUCACCCUCUUCAAACGCCUUAAUUCAGUACAUAACAAUUAUAUGCACAACAGAAGAGGUAAGUCGUAACACGGUAAGCGUACUGGAAAGUGCGCUUGGAUAAACAAAAUGUAGCUUAAUCAAAGCAUCUCGCUUACACCGAGAAUAUAUCUGUGAUACCCGGAUCAUCUUGAGCUAAAAACUUAGCUUAAUCCAUUCUAAUGUACAACCCCCCCCCCCCCCAGACCAAAUAAAACAUUUUCUACAUUUAGUAAAGGCGAUUAAAAAAUGUCUCAAAGCUAUAUAAUUAGUACCGCGAGGGAAAAGUGAAAUAAUAAUGAAAAACUUCAAGCACAUAAAAGCAGAGCUGCAACCUCGUACCUUUUGCAUCAUGGUCUAACUAGUCUAAUCAAGCAAAACGAACUUUAAGUCUGACCCCCCGAAACUAGGUGAGCUACUUAAAAACAGCCUCAUGGGCCAACCCGUCUCUGUUGCAAAAGAGUGGGAUGAUUUUUAAGUAGAGGUGAUAAACCUACCGAACCUAGAGAUAGCUGGUUAUUCAGGAAAAGGAUUUAAGUCCUACCUUAGGUUUUCUGUAUAUAUAAAUACAUUUUUAACCUUAAGAGCUAUUCAAAUAAGGUACAGCCUAUUUGAAACAGGAUACAACCUCACCUAUUGGGUAACACCUUUUAUAUUCCCUCAAGUGGGCCUAAAAGCAGCCACCUUUUAAAAAGCGUUAAAGCUUUAUUAACCGUUUGUAAAAAUUCCAUUAACUACCUGUAACCCUCAACCUGUACUGAAUGAUUUCAUAAUUUUAUGAAAACCUAUAUGUUAGAACUAGUAACAAGAAGAAGCCCUUCUCCAAAAUGUAAGCAUAAGCCAAAAUGAACCACUCAUUGGCAUUUAAAGUUAAUAAACCACAAGUAGUAACUUAACAAGAAAAAACUACUAAUUAUAACGUCAACCUUACACUAGUACAUUUCUGGAAAGACUAAAAGAAUGGGAAGGAACUCGGCAAACAAUUAACCUCGCCUGUUUACCAAAAACAUCGCCUCCUGCAUUUUAUAGGAGGUCCAGCCUGCCCAGUGACAAAGUUAAACGGCCGCGGUACCCUAACCGUGCAAAGGUAGCGCAAUCAUUUGUUCUUUAAAUGAGGACUAGUAUGAACGGCAUCACGAAGGUUAUACUGUCUCCCCACUCUAUUCAGUGAAACUGAUCUCCCCGUGAAGAAGCGGGAAUAAAAAUAUAAGACGAGAAGACCCCAUGGAGCUUUAAACUCAGUAACAACUGCUAUUUUUAAGCCUAGUAUUUACACAGCCAUGAUUACUAGUUUUUGGUUGGGGUGACCGCGGAGUAGAACUUAACCUCCAUGAUGAAAGGAAGUAUUAACCUAAACCAAGAGCGACAGCUCAAAGUAUUAAUAAAUUAACUAAUUGACCCAAUUACUUGAUCAACGAACUAAGUUACCCUGGGGAUAACAGCGCAAUCCAUUUCAAGAGCUCAUAUCGACAAAUGGGUUUACGACCUCGAUGUUGGAUCAGGGUAUCCCAGUGGCGCAGCAGCUACUAACGGUUCGUUUGUUCAACGAUUA
rnacentral:rRNA from 1 species